CUUAAAAGUCAGAUACUGAAUUCGUGCAUCGGUCCAUUGGAAGUGAAUCCUUAGAUAUUUGCAAACUACCGUGAGAUGCCAUUGGUGCCCGAAUCCUCCGGAAUGUAAUGGACCAUUCCAUCGACAAUUUGUAGAUUAGCAAUUAGCCGUAUUGUCUCCUAAGGAUCUCCACAAAUGAUGCGUUAAGCAAGACCCUUAGUUCUUCGGAAAGUUUUGAACUUGGAAUUCCUGUUGAGCUUAAAAAAAUGUGCAGAAACAAUAUGUUUAAUACUUGUGCCGAGAAUUUUCACAGAAAUAUACAAAAUAUUUCACAAUAAAAAAAUUAA